UUGUCCCGUUAGAAGAGAUUUAAUGUUUCAUUAUGCUAAUUUAUAUAUUAAAUAUCAUGAAGUUAUCAAAGAGAAGAAAUCACCAACUCCUCUGAAUGCACCUGCUGUAGGAGAGGAGGUUACACGUACCAAUGAUAGAGCACGUGCUCAA
rnacentral:ribozyme from 1 species